UCACAAAAACACUGUACUUGUGCCACUAAAUGACUGCAGUUCUCAACCAAUCAUUCGCCUAGGAGAGACUUACAGCAUGUCCAGGAUACGCAAACCGCCAGGAAUAAUUCUACCUCCCCUGCGUAACCGUCCUUUCCUGAUGCACUGUCCCAAUUUCAUCUCUUUCCCAAUAUCUCGGGUCACCUUGAG